rnacentral:rRNA from 1 species
AGUGAACGCUGGCGGUAGGCCUAACACAUGCAAGUCGAACGGCAGCACAGUAAGAGCUUGCUCUUACGGGUGGCGAGUGGCGGACGGGUGAGGAAUACAUCGGAAUCUACUUUUUCGUGGGGGAUAACGUAGGGAAACUUACGCUAAUACCGCAUACGACCUACGGGUGAAAGCAGGGGAUCUUCGGACCUUGCGCGUUUGAAUGAGCCGAUGUCGGAUUAGCUAGUUGGCGGGGUAAAGGCCCACCAAGGCGACGAUCCGUAGCUGGUCUGAGAGGAUGAUCAGCCACACUGGCACUGAGACACGGUCCAGACUCCUACGGGAGGCAGCAGUGGGGAAUAUUGGACGAUGGGCGCAAGCCUGAUACAGCCAUACCGCGUGGGUGAAGAAGGCCUUCGGGUUGUAAAGCCCUUUUGUUGGGAAAGAAGAGCAGCAGGUUAAUACCCCGCUGUUCUGACGGUACCCAAAGAAUAAGCACCGGCUAACUUCGUG